rnacentral:rRNA from 1 species
GACGAACGCUGGCGGCGUGCUUAACACAUGCAAGUCGAACGGAAAGGCCCUGCUUUUGUGGGGUGCUCGAGUGGCGAACGGGUGAGUAACACGUGAGUAACCUGCCCUUGACUUUGGGAUAACUUCAGGAAACUGGGGCUAAUACCGGAUAGGAGCUCCUGCUGCAUGGUGGGGGUUGGAAAGUUUCGGCGGUUGGGGAUGGACUCGCGGCUUAUCAGCUUGUUGGUGGGGUAGUGGCUUACCAAGGCUUUGACGGGUAGCCGGCCUGAGAGGGUGACCGGCCACAUUGGGACUAAGAUACGGCCCAGACGCCUACGGGAGGCAGCAGUGGGGAAUAUUGCACAAUGGGCGGAAGCCUGAUGCAGCAACGCCGCGUGCGGGAUGACGGCCUUCGGGUUGUAAACCGCUUUCGCCUGUGACGAAGCGUGAGUGACGGUAAUGGGUAAAGAAGCGCCGGCUAACUACGUG